ACAACAGGUAGGAGUGGAAAAUGAGAUUAAAAGCAAAUAACUAUUUUGCAAAUAACCAAAAGAAAAUUCUGAAGAUGAAGGUGUUGUUUUGUAGACAGCCCAUAGGACAUGAAAUGUGUUGUUUGAUUGCUAUUACUGUUUAGUUUCCACUUUUGGGUGUUUUGUGGAGAUGCUAGACAACCCGGCUGUACCCCAGAGAAAAGUAUUGUACAUUUUAGACACAUUUGUUGUUUUGAGCGUUCCUGUCGUUUGCUAGUGACUGAGAGGUGGCUGUAUGACUAGAAGGGGAAGAGAACAGAGUGGGAAGCCUGUUUUCCUAGUAUCUUACUAUUUGACCUACUUCACUAAACACAGAAGGAAGGCUCGCUACUAUUCUACCAGUUACCCUAUAUCUGACUAGAAAAUAAUGUUGAGUUUGGUUCCCAUACGUCACUGGUUUCUCCACAUGUGGACUCUAAACCAGAAUGCAUGUGUCUACCAGGUUUUGCAGGCUAGUGGAGUAAGUUGCUUGAGGCCUAGGCAGUAGUUGUAGAAGAAAGAAUGGUAUGGGAACCCAUGCUGAUUCUUUCCAACAGAAAAUUGACAUUAACUGAAGUAAUCUUACUGAUUCGUGGGUAAUCUCUUAGUGGUGUAGGAUAAUAGCAAAAGAGUGGAAGCUGGUAAAUCAAACCAGUGUACACAGUAAGCUUCCCAUAAGCUUUGGAAGAUGUUGUUUUUGAUGCAUUUGUUUCCAUUAAUCUCUUUCUUUUCCAUGCUUUACAGUUUAGCAGAUGCUCUUUAAUUAUUUCAUUCCUGCCUCUAAUCUGUAUUUGAAUCAGUGUAAUGAAUUUUCACUGCUCAGUUGUUCACCUCAAUUAAAGGAUGUGAAUUUACCACCACAAAGCCAAGUUUCAACAAGCUGCAGCAAUUAGAUUAUAGCUGCUGGUUGCAGUGUGGAAGUGUUUAAUGGAAUAGCCUUAUUCACCUUUGACCAAGGUCAUGCUGAUACCACGAAAUUAAUGAUUAAUUCUGAGCCAGUAAACCUUCCCGGCGUGAGGAACACCGAGCUGCAUGGCAUGGACACACCCAGGUGGGUUUGUAGGGGCUGGAUAA